UGUUGUGGCACAUGUAGACAUGGUGUUACUCACCUAUCGAGAUGAAACAAAGCAACCUCAGCGUCCAAUCGCAGGCCUUCUGCUCCUUGUGUUCUCUUCAGCACUGGAAAGCUGAUCCGAUAUUUACACGGGUCCUACUUCUUGUCUUAUCUUAAGCCU